rnacentral:ncRNA from 2 species
CUACAGUGCGCAGGUUCAGGUGUCCCGACGGCCUCGCGCCCAAGGGAUGAAACGGGAAGCCGGUGCGCAGUGCACAUCACUGCAAGGCCGGCGCUGCCCCCGCAACGGUAAGCGAGAGACCGAACCGCGAAUGCCACUGUGCGAUGCACGGGAAGGCGCGGUUCGAGGCGAGCGGAGCACCGCCCGCCACUCGUGAGCCCGGAGACCGGCCUGGAUGAUUUCUGGUGG